GGGGACGUUACGGAUUCGACAGGGACGGAUCGAGCUUGAGCUGCGAGCCGAGAGGCGAUCUCGUAAAAACGCACCUAAAUAUAACUGGCAAAUCUAAUAACCAGAACUUAGCUUUAGCUGCCUAAUUAGCGCAGCGAGCUCUUGCCCGCAUCGCCUAUGUGCCGGUACAGAGCCCAUAACCAAGUAGGCUACGCUUGCGCCUCCGUCUGAGGGCGCAGGAAGAGAUUCAUCAGACUAGCUCUCUGAGGGCCCGCCCGCAGGCACGACGAUGAGCGAAUUUAAAUUUGCAGGGCUACGCUCGUAGACGCUGAAGUAUCGACGUUUCUGGACGUGGGUUCGACUCCCACCGUCUCCAUAC
rfam:Bacillus glycinifermentans strain GO-13 contig_7, whole genome shotgun sequence.